AGUGAACGCUGGCGGUAGGCCUAACACAUGCAAGUCGAACGGCAGCACAGUAAGAGCUUGCUCUUACGGGUGGCGAGUGGCGGACGGGUGAGGAAUACAUCGGAAUCUACUUUUUCGUGGGGGAUAACGUAGGUAAACUUACGCUAAUACCGCAUACGACCUACGGUUGAAAGCAGGGGAUCUUCGGACCUUGCGCGAUUGAAUGAGCCGAUGUCGGAUUAGCUAGUUGGCGGGGUAAAGGCCCACCAAGGCGACGAUCCGUAGCUGGUCUGAGAGGAUGAUCAGCCACACUGGAACUGAGACACGGUCCAGAGUCCUACGGGAGGCAGCAGUGGGGAAUGUUGGACAAUGGGCGCAAGCCUGAUCCAGCCAGACCGCGUGGGUGAAGAAGGCCUUCGGGUUGUAAAGACCUUUUGUUGGGAAAGAAAAGCAGCAGGUUAAUACCCCGCUGUUCUGACGGUACCCAAAGAAUAAGCACCGGCUAACUUCGUG
rnacentral:rRNA from 1 species